CUAGGAGUUACAGUGCUUGUGUCCUAGACUGCCUUUUGAGUUUAUUUAGAGCCCCAUAGCACUUCAACCUGCAGUGGCAAGCCUCUCGGGAACUCAAAUUCUGACCAUUGGGAUCAGUGGUUCCCCUCUGGCUAGGGCUGGUUUAAAUACUCCCUCUGUAGGCAGGUGUCAGCUGAGUGCGGUCCGGUUUUCCUUUCUGCUAUAACAGGAAAGCACACUGAGUUCAAUGCCUCACAAUUGCUGGCUCUCCCUCUCUCCAAAGCACAGAAAUGCUCUUUGCACCACACCAUCACUGCCAGGGGAUGGAGGAGGGGUUGCACUGGUGAUUCAAGACUGUCCUACUUCUUCAGUGCCUCCUUCAGUGAUAUGAAGCCAAAACCAGACCAGGAAACUUUUUCAGCUUUGUGACUGAGAGACAGCCAGCCUUUCAGCUGGGUGAGCUUUCCAGUUGCAUGAGAAAGAGCUUCAUAAGAAACCACCUACACUCUUCCCAUCCAAAAAAAUAGAAAAAAAGAAAGAGAAGAAUAUAAAAAGAAUUGCUUCUCCUCCAAAAAUACAGCUCCUAGGUGCUGCUGAAAUGAGUGAGCAGGGUAAUUGAUGAGAGUUUGGGAGCUGGGAGAGCAGUGAGCUGAUGCUUGGAGCCUUGCCGCGAUCGGACACACUGUGUUGUCAUGGUCCAAGACCCUGCCUCAGGUGCCUUGCACAAGAGCUUGUUUACUGAGGGGUAUGUGACAGCCACAUCAGUGACCUGGGGAAAUUAGCCUGUGUCAAAGCCAAUUAGUCACACUGUUUCCACUUUAAUAAAGGAGAUCAAUUAAGAGGAGAGCUGCACUGGAAAAUUCCCAGGCCUGCCAGACCUAGGGUGUUAUGUUGUUAGGCACCAAAUUCAUUCAUUCACUCAACAACCAUAUAUUUAGUGCCAGCUAUGUGCUGGACACUGGAAAUAAAAUGAUAAAUACAGAUACAACAACAACAACAACUUUCAAAGCACUCUCAGUUUUUUAUCACCUCGGAAAUCAAUUUCUCACCUGCCUAUUUUUUAAAAAAUUGCCUUCUCUCUUGCAUUGUUUCUGAUAUGGAAUCUUGUUAUCUUUAUCUUUACUCUUCUGUAUAUAGCAUGUGUUUUCUCUCAGACUGCUUUUAAGACUUUAAAAGCCCCUGAAUUUCAACGACUCUUUUCUAGACUUUGGAAUUUGAGAGGUCAGUAAUCUUUUUAGUUAGAAGAGUUACCAGUUUUAAUUGUGCAAGGUAAAAAACAAAAUGAAAGAUUUUUUGACACACAAAAAGUAGCAAAUAGAUCAUCUCAGUAUAAGGAAUUGCAAUUUAAAUUAAAUAAAUUUAGCUUCAUGAAAAACUAUACAAUUUUUUUCUCCUUUUGCUGCUUCCUAACAAGCAGUUGUUUGAAACCUUCCUUACUUCCUUUUUCCUUUCUUGUUUAAAGCUUGCUUUCUUUGUUUCUUUCUUUGUUUCUUUGUUUCUUUCUUUCUUCCUUUUUUCUUUUCUCUUUUUUCCCUUUCUUUUUCUUUCUAAUGAGCAGUACCUGUUCUCAUUCUCCAAAUAAAUAUUCUAUGAUCAAAUUACACUUCCAGCCAAGAUAGAGAAAAAGACCAGAUUUACCCUCUCACCUUAACCAAUAAAUUUUAGAAGUAUAUGAAACAAUGGUUUUCAGGACACUGGAUAUCAGACAAAAACAGUGAUUCCUGAAAGACAGGAGAUGAAUGAGGUGAGUCCUGUGAUUACCCCGGUUUAAUGUUUUGAGAGAGAGUCCAGUCUGUAGUGCAGGGGGGAAGAACCCAAGUCGAGCCUGGAAGACUCCCUGACUAGAAAUAGAGCUAAAAGUUGGGAGUGAAUAAAGUGACAAGAGUCACUGGAAUGUCUACCAGGCAAGAUAUCUGAAGAUCUGUAACUCCCUUUGAGUUUUAAGCUGAGCAAUAAUUAGCACAUGCAUGGAAGGAAACUACCUGAGGCCAGGAACAGAAUCACCUGGAAGGACAGAGGUAACAGUGUCUGGCAUUCACACAGAGUCAACAUAGUGCCUGUACCCAGAAAUCACACUGGAAAACCUCAUGUUUCAUAAGGCAUUUGGUAGAAUACUCAGAAAGGUCUUGUCUUGGUAAUGGGGGAUAAUUAGCCCUGUAAUACGAGGACUGCUCUCGUCCCAUUUAAUAAAUCAUGAAACCAAAACCUGAAAGGAUUGAACUAUUUUCACAUACAUUAACUGUGUCCCAGAACAAAGCUGAUUUGGUUUGGCUGUAUCUCCACCCAAAUCUCAUCUUGAACUGUAGUUCCCAUGAUCCCUACAUGUCAUGGGAGGGACCCAGUGGGAGGUAAUUUAAUCAUGGGGGCCGUUACUCCCAUGCUUUUCUCAUGAUUGUGAGUGAGUUCUAUGAGAUCUGAUGGUUUAUGAGGGGCUUUUCCCCUUUUGCUUGGCACUUUUCCUUGCUGCUGCCAUGUGAAGAGGGAUAUGUUUGCUUCUCCUUCCACCAUGAAUGUAAGUUUCCUGAGGCAUCCCCACCCCUGCAGAACUGUGACUCAAUUAAACCUCUUUCCUUUAUAAAUUACUCAGUCUUGGAUAUGUCUUUAUUAGCAGCAUGAAAAUGAACUAAUACAAAAACACAAGAAUAUUUACAGAGAUAUAAAGCUUGCAACAAGGUAAAAUUCCCAAUCGCUUUGCGUUUAUACUGAGUAAUGGGAUUGCUGGGUCAAAUGGUAUUUCUGGUGCUAGAUCUUUGAGGAAUCACCACACCAUCUUUCACAAUGGUUGAACUAAUUUCCAUUCCCACCAACAAUGUAAAAGCAUUCCUAUUUCUCUGCAACCUUGCCAGCAUCUGCCAGUCACCAUUCUGACCGGGAUGAGAUGUUAACUCAUUGUGGUUUUUAUUUGUAUUUCUCUAAUAAUCAGUGAUGUUGAGCUUUUUUUCAUAUGUUUAUUGGCUACAUGAAUGUCUUCUUUUGAGAAGUGUCUAUUUAUAUCUCUGUCCAUCAACAAUAGACUAGAUAAGGAAAAUGUGGUACAUAUACACCGUGGAAUACUAUGCAGCCAUAAAAAGGAAUGAGAUCAUGUCCUUUGCAGGGACAUGGAUGAAGAUGGAAGCCAUUAUCCUCAGCAAACUAACGCAGGAACAGAAAACCAAACACCGCAUAUUCUCACUUAUAAGUGGGAGCUGACCAAUGAGAACACAUGGACACAGGGAGGGGAACAAUACACACUGGCGCCUGUUGAGGGUUGGGGUGAGAGGAGAGAGAACAUUAUGAAAAACAGCUAAUGCAUGCUGGACUUAAUACUUAGGUGAUGGAUUUAUAGGUGCAGCAAACCACCAUGGCACACAUUUACUUACAUAACAAACCUGCAUAUCCUGCACAUGUACUCCAGAACUAAAAAUAAAAAGAAAAAAACAAAAACAAACAAACAAAAAUUCCCAAUUGUUUACAUCGAAUUAAUAAUUACCAGGCAUGCCAAUUAUCACUAGGGAUAAAGAAAAACAUAAACUAUAAUAGGAAAAAAGCAAUCAACCAAAAUAAACACAGAUCUAGAUACAUGGAAGAAAUAACAGACAAAACAGUGAUUACAACUGUAUUGCUUACAGACAAAAAAGUUAAACAGAG
rnacentral:lncRNA from 1 species